GAGAGUGCUCUUCUAUGCAGCAGAACAGCCUAGGUCCUGCAACAGCAACUGGCCAUCCCCUAAUUCUAGAUGCUACAAGCCACUAGGUUCAUUUCUCACUCACUCUCCGUGGCCAUUGCAGGUUGCUAAGGGCUCUGCUCUGCAUCCUCUUCUCUUCAGGACCCAAGCGGACAGAGUAGUCAGUAUCCGGAACACAGUGGUUUUGGUGACAAAGCAAAAAGAGAACGCAUGGCUAAUUGCAUACCGGCUUUUAAAGGUUCCGAACACUUCCACUCGCACUUCAUUGGCCAAAGCUGUGACUUAUGUCAGCAAAGAAGUGUAAUUCUCCAGUUUGCCCGGAAGAGGAGUAGAACUGGAAUGUGGAUGAACAUUCCAGUAACAUUACCUAGAGGGGGUCCGUGAGCAACCUGGAAUUCUGAGGCUUGCCCACAUUCUGGGGGAAGUCUGCCAAUUGCUCCCUGAAUGGUGAAUGGAAACAAGCUGGUCUGCUGUGUUGCUUGGCAAAGAUAGAAUAGCAGCACAGGCUUGCUGCUGGCUGGAUGACACCAUUUUCCACUCCUCUGCUCCUCUGCCUGCAGGAAGCCCCCAGGUGGCAUUAGGGAGAAUUAGCGUGUAAAUUACAGGGCCUGCUAAUUUCUCACCACUUCAUUAGUUGACAGUUCAGUGAAAGAGCUCCCCUGCCAUUCACCUCGUCUGUGGCACUGACACUUCUCAUCAGCAGAGGCAGAGUUCAGUCGUGUUGUGUUGACGUGCUUGUGACUUUUCAGUUCCCCUCCGAAGGUGUGUGCUGGUUUAUUCUCUGACUCUGUUACUAGCAAUUACGUCCUUGGGUGUCCCUGCAACAUCUACCUCAAAUCUUCUUUUGGUUCAAACUUAAUUGUCGCCAGGAAAAGGGAGAAAUUUCUCUUGAUUUUGUCCAUACCUUUUUACAGAAUGGUUUCAAAAUAUGCCCCAACGAAAGGAAAAAUAAAAAUAAUACACUUUAUAAAAAUAAACUCUUCUUCAUAAUUUUC